CCAGACUCCUACGGGAGGCAGCAGUGAGGAAUAGUGGUCAAUGGGAGGGAGCCUGAACAAGACAAGUCGCGUGAGGGAUGACGGCCCUAUGGGUUGUAAAAAUCUUUUGCCGGUGAGAAAAGUGCCGCAGGUGUGCGGCUUGGAGAGUACCCGGAGAAAAAGCAUCGGCUAACUCCGUGCCAGCAGCCGCGGUAAUACGGAGGAUGCGAGCGUUAUCCGGAUUUAUUGGGUUUAAAGGGUGCGCAGGCGGAAUGUCAAGUCAGCGGUAAAAUUGCGGGGCUCAACCUCGUCGAGCCGUUGAAACUGGGUGCCUUGAGUGGGCGAGAAGUACGCGGAAUGCGUGGUGUAGCGGUGAAAUGCAUAGAUAUCACGCAGAACUCCGAUUGCGAAGGCAGCGUACCGGCGCCCAACUGACGCUGAAGCACGAAGGCGUGGGUAUCGAACAGGAUUAGAUACCCUCGUAC
rnacentral:rRNA from 1 species